CCUACGGGCGGCAGCAGUGGGGAAUAUUGCACAAUGGGGGAAACCCUGAUGCAGCAACGCCGCGUGAGUGAAGAAGUAUUUCGGUAUGUAAAGCUCUAUCAGCAGGGAAGAGAAUGACGGUACCUGACUAAGAAGCCCCGGCUAACUACGUGCCAGCAGCCGCGGUAAUACGGAGGGGGCAAGCGUUAUCCGGAUUUACGGGGUGUAAAGGGCGCGUAGACGGCUGUACAAGUCUGAAGUGAAAGCGCGUGGCUCAACCGCGGAACUGCUUUGGAAACUGGAAAGCUGGAGUACUGGAGAGGCAGGCGGAAUGCGUGGUGGAGCGGGGAAAGGCGGAGAUAGUGGGAGGAACCCGAGGGGCGAAGGCGGC
rnacentral:rRNA from 1 species